rnacentral:rRNA from 1 species
UGCAAAGUCCUGAAUGUCACCCGUCUCGUUGAAUCUCGGAAGCUAAGCUGGUUUUAGCCCGGUUUCGCACUUGGAUGGGAGACUGCCUGGCAACAUCAGGUGACAUCGCUU